CCUACGGGCGGCAGCAGUGGGGAAUAUUGCACAAUGGGGGAAACCCUGAUGCAGCGACGCCGCGUGAGUGAAGAAGUAUUUCGGUAUGUAAAGCUCUGUCAGCAGGGCAGAAAAUGACGGUACCUGACCAAGAAGCCCCGGCUAACUACGUGCCAGCAGCCGCGGUAAUACGUAGGGGGCAAGCGUUAUCCGGAUUUACUGGGUGUAAAGGGAGCGUAGACGGCAGGGCAAGUCUGGAGUGAAAGGCGGGGGCUCAACCCCCGGACUGCUGUGGAAACUGCCAGGCUGGAGUGCAGGAGAGGUAAGUGGAAUGCCUGGUGUAGCGGUGAAAUGCAUAGAUAUUAGGAGGAACACCAAUGGCGAAGGCAGCUUACUGGACUGUAACUGACGUUGAGGCUCGAAAGCGUGGGGAGCAAACAGGAUUAGAUACCCCUGUAGUC
rnacentral:rRNA from 1 species